UGCCCAGCAACUCCUAUCCCUACCUCCACGCGGUACCGGCCGGAAACUAUGAGCAACCUUAGGGAAGAUGGGGUAACCAACCCCGGUGGGACCUUUGGUCGUAGGCUGACAGGGAAGG
rnacentral:ribozyme from 1 species